GUGGGGAAUAUUGGACAAUGGGGGGAACCCUGAUCCAGCCAUGCCGCGUGUGUGAAGAAGGCCUUUUGGUUGUAAAGCACUUUAAGCGAGGAGGAGGCUACCGAGAUUAAUACUCUUGGAUAGUGGACGUUACUCGCAGAAUAAGCACCGGCUAACUCUGUGCCAGCAGCCGCGGUAAUACAGAGGGUGCAAGCGUUAAUCGGAUUUACUGGGCGUAAAGCGCGCGUAGGUGGCCACUUAAGUCAAAUGUGAAAUCCCCGAGCUUAACUUGGGAAUUGCAUUCGAUACUGGUUGGCUAGAGUAUGGGAGAGGAUGGUAGAAUUCCAGGUGGAGCGGUGAAAUGCGUAGAGAUCUGGAGGAAUACCGAUGGCGAAGGCAGCCAUCUGGCCUAAUACUGACCCUGAGGUGCGAAAGCAUGGGGAGCAAACAGGAUUAGAUACCCGUGUAGUCC
rnacentral:rRNA from 1 species